CUGCUGCCUCCCGUAGGAGUCUGGGCCGUGUCUCAGUCCCAAUGUGGCCGAUCAACCUCUCAGUUCGGCUACUGAUCGUCGACUAGGUGGGCCGUUACCCCGCCUACUAUCUAAUCAGACGCGAGUCCAUCUGUAAGCGAUAAAUCUUUCAAAGCUUCCCCAUGCGGAAAAACUUCAAUAUGCGGUAUUAGCACAGAUUUCUCUGUGUUAUCCCCCUCUUACAGGCAGGUUACUCACGCGUUACUCACCCG
rnacentral:rRNA from 1 species